GCUCCCCCGUCGCCAUGGCAACGGUAGCGGCCUGCGGCCCCCGACGGAGCCCGGGCCGGGCCGGGCCGGGGCUAAACGCCUAAAAUGCAUAUUUUUUGUCCUGAACUGUUCCUACCCAGCACGUGUGCAGUCCUGUGAGUAACUCCUCCGGUUACCGGUACAGACCAGGAGUAUUUACGAAUAUAUAUCCAUGUAAUCAGGAGCAGAAUUGGAGAAGCGGGUAAUUUAUAUGGAAGUUACCCUUAGGAGUUGGUUUUCUGAAGAGGUUCACCCUUCCCUUUCUAAGGAGGAAACUAACUGAUAUUGAUAAAACUUUUUAAAGAUCCAUAACGGUACCUCAAGUCGGCAGGGAGAUCAAAAUCCGUAACAAAACUGUUCCUAAUCUCUUUGGAAAAUUAAAAGCUGCACCAAGCAGCUGUAUCAGCAUCACCCUGUUUCCUGCUAAACGCUCCUAGGAUGGGAACUCUACAAAAAUAACUGAUCAUCAACCCGGAGUUGUUUAAAACUGAAGUUGCCUCCUGGGGCAUCUUCCUGCCCACCGCAGUUGCAGAGACCUUCGCCUGCCCCAGUUCUGAUCAAAGACUUGGGGAAACCGUGUACUCGCUACUCCCACAAAACUGAACCUCGGGGAAAGAACAAGCUGAAAGUAGCGGAGGAGCUGCCAGGCCGGCAAGAAGGCGAGGACAUGGUGCUGGUCUUCAGCCCAGGACCAACGGGUCUCAGCAGCACCAACAUCCAGCUUGCAGAGAGCAUGGGAAAUGUUGAGAAAAGAGAGGGCUCGGUAACUUUUUUCAGACCAAGAAGAGUUUAUGGAUAGCGUGCCUCAGCCAGUGGUCCCUGACCUUUGCUAGCUGGCAGUAAUGUUGAAGGAGCAGCUCACUGCCACUGAUGUGCUGUUUUGCUCACCCUGCCAAUCAAAGCCAAAACACAUAACUAGAAAGUCUACAAAAAGCAAACUUUUUGCAAAGCAAAGCAUGGGACGAGGCAAUGUUGGAGAAUCUUGGACCACUGGGAAUGGCGACAGCCCAAGGAGAGCUCCUGCAGGCUGGAGGGUCUCAGGGAGCUGGGGCAACGUUUGAAGGAUGAUCUGGAUCUUCCCAGGUGGCUGCAGAAGGGAGAGGACCACCUUGCCUCAGGGCAUGUGCUUGGAUUCUUUGCACGUCUCUCCCAUGAGAGGCAUGCAGGGGGCAAAUGAGAGGCAGGGCUGCUGCAUCACUAAAAUAAACUUGCUUUCCCGUUCCAUCUGUGGUCAGGAAGCACUAACUGUUCAGAGGUUUUGCUCCUCAGCGCAUGUUGCAGACAGCACACUUGAAAACUACACAGAUUCACAGCAUUUGUUUUCUGGUCAUAACACUACACUUGUGUGACGCUUGUUUCUUGAUCUGGUCUCCGGUAAGAUUCACCAUGUGGCCUCACGAGAGCUUGCAAUGGCACAGAGACCGUCUCAAAAGCAGUCCACAGCCCUGUGUCCAGCCGAUCACAAACUGAAAACCCCU